UCUGCAAGUCAGCGAUUUCAUUUCUGCAGCCUUGAGCCUCCAACAUCUGCAGAAAGUCACGUUGCUCCACAGAUCCUGCCCUCAUCUGACUGCACCCAAACUGCAGACCAGCUCAUCUGUUCCUGUGAGACUGUGGGAAAUCCUGCUCCCACUUUACAGUGGUAUUUGGACGGGCUACCUGUCAAUCACUCUGACAAGUUUGCAAUCAGCAGUGAGUCUCUAAAUGACACAGGUCUGAGGAUCAUCAUCACUGUGAAUCAACCACAAUGGAGGGAUCUUUCCACCUUGCUCUGUCGCAGCUCCAACUCUCUAGGAUCUGCAAGUCAGCGAUUUCAUUUCUACAGCCUUGAAUCUUCAACAUCUGCGGAAAGUCACGUUGCUCCACAGAUCCUGCCCUCAUCUGACUGCACCCAAACUGCAGACCAUCUCAUCUGUUCCUGUGAGACUGUGG